UACGUAGGGGGCGAGCGUUGUCCGGAUUUACUGGGCGUAAAGCGCGCGCAGGCGGUCCGGUAAGUCUCCGGUGAAAUCGCCCGGCUCAACUGGGCGGGUGCCGGGGAGACUGGCGGACUUGAGGAGCCUAGAGGCCGGUGGAACUCCCGGUGUAGUGGUGAAAUGCGUAGAGAUCGGGAAGAACACCAGUGGCGAAGGCGGCCGGCUGGGGGUGUCCUGACGCUGAGGCGCGAGAGCGUGGGGAGCAAACCGG
rnacentral:rRNA from 1 species